rnacentral:tRNA from 5 species
GCCCGGGUGGUGAAAUUGGUAGACACACAAGACUUAAAAUCUUGCGCUUUAACGAGCGUACCGGUUCGAUUCCGGUCCCGGGCA